rnacentral:snRNA from 1 species
AGCUUUGCGCAGUGGCAGUAUCGUAGCCAAUGAGGUUUAGACGAGGCGCAAUUAUUGCUAAUUGAAAAAACCAAUGAUGUAAUGUAUGGUGAUUAACAUAAUAA